UUUAUUGAGAGUUUGAUCCUGGCUCAGGACGAACGCUGGCGGCGUGCUUAACACAUGCAAGUCGAGCGAUGAAGCUC
rnacentral:rRNA from 1 species